GAGUUUGAUCCUGGCUCAGAACGAACGCUGGCGGCGUGCCUAACACAUGCAAGUCGAACGUGAUCCAGAGCUUGCUCUGGUGAAAGUGGCGCACGGGUGAGUAACGCGUGGAUAACCUACCCUGGUAUCCGGGAUAACAUUCCGAAAGGGGUGCUAAUACCGGAUAAGCCCACGGGCUCUUUGGAGCUUGCGGGAAAAGGUGGCCUCUAUUUAUAAGCUACUGUAUCAGGAUGGGUCCGCGUACCAUUAGCUAGAUGGCGGUGUAACGGACCACCAAGGCGACGAUGGUUAGCUGGUCUGAGAGGAAGAUCAGCCACACUGGAACUGAGACACGGUCCAGACUCCUACGGGAGGCAGCAGUGGGGAAUUUUGCGCAAUGGGGGAAACCCUGACGCAGCAACGCCGCGUGAGUGAUGAAGGCCUUUGGGUCGUAAAGCUCUGUCAGAGGGGAAGAAAUGAUAUAGUGCUAAUACCACUUUAUCUUGACGGUACCCUCAAAGGAAGCACCGGCUAACUCCGUGCCAGCAGCCGCGGUAAUAC
rnacentral:rRNA from 1 species